ACACGAGAAAGGAGGUGAUCCGGUAAAUGAUGCUUACCCGGACGCGUGAGGUGGCUGCGGCCUAGCGCCGACGCCACAGUGUGACGCCGGUAUCGCCGGCCAAUCUCCAGCAGUCACCCGGCCCGUGGGCUCGUCGGACUCGUCCGACCGGCGCCGUUCGUCUUCGGCGAGCGGAGCAGCCCGCGGGCCGUCUGCG
rnacentral:sRNA from 1 species